rnacentral:tRNA from 1 species
GCUCCAAUAGCUCAGCUGGAUAGAGCGGUUGCCUCCUAAGCAGCAGGCCAGAGGUUCGAAUCCUCCUUGGAGCGCCA